rnacentral:rRNA from 1 species
UGAUGAUGGUCUACAUGGAUAACCGUAGUAAUUCUAGAGCUAAUACAUGCUGUAAGCCUGACUUUAGGGAAAGGUUGUAUUUAUUAGAUCCCAAACCAAUAGUUUCGACUAUUGUGACGAUUCAUAAUAACUGGUCGGAUCGGGUUUUACUCGAUGGAUCAUUCAAGUUUCCGCCCUAUCAGCUUUCGAUGGUAGUGUAUUGGACUACCAUGGCGAUUACGGGUAACGGGGAAUUAGGGUUCGAUUCCGGAGAGGGAGCCUGAGAAACGGCUACCACUUCUAAGGAAGGCAGCAGGCGCGUAAAUUACCCAAUCCUGAUUCAGGGAGGUAGUGACAAGAAAUAUUAACAGAGGGGCUUUGCCUUAUCUGAUUAAAAUGAGGACAAUCUAAUAGACCUUACCGAGGAACAAUUGGAGGGCAAGUCUGGUGCCAGCAGCCGCGGUAAUUCCAGCUCCAAUAGCGUAUAUUAAAGUUGUUGCAGUUAAAAAGCUCGUAGUUGAACUUCUGGUCAGGAGUGACUUUGGCUCCGGUCGAAGCAGUCCUGGCCAUCCGCCAGAAAACCAGAGUGGGCCUUUACUGGUCGCCCUGGGGAUCUGGCACUUUACUUUGAAAAAAUUAGAGUGUUCAAGGCAGGCUAUCGCCCUGAAUAUACAAGCAUGGAAUAAUGGAAUAGGUCUGGGUCUAUUUUGUUGGUUUAUAGAACCAGGAAUGAUUAAUAGGGACAGUUGGGGGCAUUAGUAUUUAAUUGUCAGAGGUGAAAUUCUUGGAUUUAUUAAAGACUGACUUAUGCGAAAGCAUUUGCCAAGAAUGUUUUCAUUAAUCAAGAACGAAAGUUAGGGGAUCAAAGACGAUCAGAUACCGUCCUAGUCUUAACUAUAAACUAUGCCGACUAGGGAUUGGCAGGUAGUAGCUCUGUCAGCACCUCGAGAGAAAUCAAAGUCUUUGGGUUCUGGGG